rnacentral:rRNA from 1 species
UACGGAGGGAGCUAGCGUUGUUCGGAAUUACUGGGCGUAAAGCGCGCGUAGGUGGCUUCAUAAGUCCGUUGUGAAAGUCAAAGGCUCAACCUUUGAAAGCCGAUGGAUACUGUGAAGCUAGAGUACGGAAGAGGCGAGUGGAAUUCCUGGUGUAGCGGUGGAAUGCGCAGAUAUCAGGAGGAACACCAAUAGCGAAGGCAGCUCGCUGGGACGUUACUGACGCUGAGGCGCGAAAGCGUGGGGAGCGAACAGG